UUGAACGCUGGCGGCAUGCUUUACCCAUGCCAGUCGCACGGCAGCGCGGGCUUCGGCCUGGCGGCGAGUGGCGAACGGGUGAGUAAUGCAUCGGAACGUGCCCAGUAGUGGGGGAUAGCCCGGCGAAAGCCGGAUUAAUACCGCAUACGACCUGAGGGUGAAAGCGGGGGACCGAAAGGCCUCGCGCUAUUGGAGCGGCCGAUGUCGGAUUAGCUAGUUGGUGGGGUAAAGGCUUACCAAGGCGACGAUCCGUAGCUGGUCUGAGAGGACGACCAGCCACACUGGGACUGAGACACGGCCCAGACUCCUACGGGAGGCAGCAGUGGGGAAUUUUGGACAAUGGGGGCAACCCUGAUCCAGCCAUGCCGCGUGCGGGAAGAAGGCCUUCGGGUUGUAAACCGCUUUUGUUCGGGAAGAAAUCCUCUGGGCUAAUACCCCGGGGGGAUGACGGUACCGGAAGAAUAAGCACCGGCUAACUACGUG
rnacentral:rRNA from 1 species